rnacentral:rRNA from 1 species
CUACGGAGGGUGCAAGCGUUACUCGGAAUCACUGGGCGUAAAGCGCGCGCAGGCGGCUAUUUAAGUUGGAUGUGAAAGCCUACGGCUCAACCGUAGAACUGCACCCAAAACUAUUUAGCUAGAGUGUGGGAGAGGAAGAUGGAAUUAGUUGUGUAGGGGUAAAAUCCGUAGAGAUAACUAGGAAUACCAAAAGCGAAGGCAAUCUUCUGGAACAUUACUGACGCUGAGGCGCGAAAGCGUGGGGAGCAAACAGGAUUAGAAACCCCGGUAGUCC